rnacentral:rRNA from 1 species
UCCGUAGGUGGCAAGCGUUGUCCGGAAUUAUUGGGCGUAAAGCGCGCGCAGGCGGUCCUUUAAGUCUGAUGUGAAAGCCCACGGCUCAACCGUGGAGGGUCAUUGGAAACUGGGGGACUUGAGUGCAGAAGAGGAGAGUGGAAUUCCACGUGUAGCGGUGAAAUGCGUAGAGAUGUGGAGGAACACCAGUGGCGAAGGCGACUCUCUGGGCCUACCCUGACGCUGAGGAGCGAAAGCGUGGGGAGCAAACCGG